rnacentral:rRNA from 1 species
UUAAAUUGAAGAGUUUGAUCAUGGCUCAGAUUGAACGCUGGAGGCAGGCUGAACACAUGCAAGUCAAACGGUAACAGGAAUAAGAUUGGUUCUUUGCUGACGAG